UACAGAGGUCCCAAGCGUUGUUCGGAUUCAUUGGGCGUAAAGGGUGCGUAGGCGGCGCGGUAAGUCGGGUGUGAAAUCUCGGAGCCUAACUCCGAAACUGCAUUCGAUACUGCCGUGCUUGAGGACUGGAGAGGAGAUUGGAAUUUACGGUGUAGCGGUGAAAUGCGUAGAUAUCGGAAGGAACACCAGUGGCGAAAGCGGCUUCCUGGUCCAGCACCGACGUUCAGGCACGAAAGCGUGGGGAGCAAACAGG
rnacentral:rRNA from 1 species